CCCUGGUUAGCUCGAUUGGUAGAGCGCGCCGCUGGAAAUGGAGAGGUCCCGGGUUUGAUACCCGGGCCAGGCG
rfam:Ixodes scapularis strain Wikel colony gcontig_1108378697506, whole genome shotgun sequence.